AGUGACCUUGAUCAUACCACCAAGAAGCAGAACAUCAAGGGGAGAAAGAUGGAGUCUCACUCUGUUGCCUAGGCUGGAACGCAAUAGUGCAAUUUCAGCUCACUGCAGCCUCUGCCUCCCAGGUUCAAGCAAUUCUCCUGCCUUAGCCUCCUGAGUACCUGAGACUACAGGUGUCUAUGCAUUUGAAGAAGCAGUCAUCCCCUCCAAAAUUCAUGAACUGACUUUUUAGAGUAAAGACCUUCACCUGCAGUGGGUUAGACAUACUGGAAUGCGUGAGGUACCAAACAAAGGGGCAUAUGGUGACUGUGGGCCUCAGUGUGCGUGGCGUCCCAUUGACUCAGAUAGCUGGGGUUGGCAACCUCAGAAACUAUGUGGUCCUUGGCGAUGAGAGCUGAAGAAGGCCCAUGGUCACUGUGAGGUGCUUCUUCAAGUUGGCAAAGUUUCACUCUCUACCAAACAUGAAAAAGACAAAAGUGGUAGAAAAAGACCCAAAGGAGGAAUGUGAGAUUGCAGAAUACAAAACAGACUGGUUCAAGAUGGGAGAGGAGAGAAAACCCAGAAAACUACAUGAGGAGGGAUUUGAAGAACUAAAAACAGAGAACAGGAUGGCAAACUCAAGGCAAAAUCCAGGAUCCUGGAGGAGCUGAUGUGGCUGAAGGAGCUGAAGCCCCCACCGGAGCCAAAGUUAGAUUGGAAGGAGUCCAGGCCAUGGCUGAGGCCAGAGCUUGUGAGCUCAGCUCACCUGAGUAGCCUCUGGUGGUCUUCUUGUGGAUAUUCAUGUACCGCAUUCCAGACUCCAGCCAGCUCUCCUUGCCCUCCAGCAGCAUCCUGUAGGUGGUGAUCUCGAUGUCCAGGACCACCCAGACCUUCUUCAGUUCCUGGUACCCUCACAGCUGUAGGGCACGUCCUUCCUGGCUCAUUUCAGAGAGCCUCCAGCUCCACCAGCUUCGCACUGGCGUCCUUAACGACCAUCUCCCCACACUGCAAGGUCUCCACGACAGCAGCCUCCAGGAAAUUCUCUGACCUCUGAGCCCCUCUGUCUCAGCCCACAGCUGGCUGAUGUUCUAGUUUGUCUCAGAGAUCUUCGAAUGCCACAGAUCAUCCCGAUGCUCCCCAGCCAGCGUCUGCAGCUCCUCACACUUGAUCUGGUGCAAGCUCUCAGUCUCACUGAGCUGUGGCUGGCCAUCUCUGC
rnacentral:lncRNA from 1 species